AGGUUUUUCUCAUUCUCUUGACUGCUCUCUUUCCAUCCUAUUUCACAUUUCACUAAUCUCCCCCAGUCUGGAAAUCCAGUUUUAUUUUUUUCUUGCACAUUCUAGGUAAGUGCUCUGUACCCCUGAGUGAAAUACCUAGACCUUUUAAUUUUAUUUUUCCAUACUCAACCCAAUCUAAAGUAUCUAUGGUUUCACAUAAAUAGCCUUCAAGCUCCAGGUAAGUGCUGUUAAAAUGGCUGUCUGUUUCCCUUAUCAUAUGGACAAGUCAAAACCAUCACUCAUGCAGAUAUAUGAUAACUCAAAGAAAUAAUUAAUAUUUCAUUAAUAAAGAUAUAUAAAUAGGGAACAAAUGAAAAUUAAGUAAAUAAACCCUCUUGUUAUUAUCCUCAGAUAUACUUACAAACAAAAUCCUUAAACAAGACAAAAAGAAUUCUAAUAAAACAUUAUAUUAAAAUUGGAAGACAGAUUCAAUUUUUUUUUUCAUAAAGCAUAACACAAAACUAAAACUCUAUAAGCAAAGAUAAAAGACAUUUAUAACAGAUCCAGGAUCCAAAGACCUAAUAUAAAGUUCAGAGCAAACAUGAGAAAUAUUCAUAAAAGAAAUUUUAGCAGAUUUUAAGAAAUUAAUUUUGAAGCAUGAAACUCUAUACUGAAAAAAGAAUGUCCCAAGCCUGGUGUCAUAAAAGAUAAUGCAUUCACCUUAAGGCAAAUUAUCAUCAUGUUUCAGAACAUGGAAAGUUGAUAGAUGUGUUGCAAAAUCAUGAUUUAUAUGGCUUGUAUUUUCAAAGCAGCAAGAAUGAAUACCAAAAAUUAAUGCCUUCAAAAAUCUGAGUAAACAUUAUUUUUAACCUAGAAUUCAGUAGCCAGCCAAACUAUCAAUUGAACAUGAGGACAAAGAAAGGACAAGCAAAACUCAGAAAAUGCCCUACUAGUCAUCCUUUUGUGAAGAGCAGCAUGAUGAUGACUUCCAAGAGUGCACAGUCAGUUAACCAGGAAUGAUUAAAAUAUCAUACCUGGGAAAAAAGGCAAUCAUACCAGAAGAACAUUUAAGAAAAUUCAUUGGAGAAUAAUCAAAGUACGUUUUAGAGAGAAAGCUAUAAGUCCAGAUGAUAGAAAGAGGGUAUAAACACUGAAGUCUCUGGGGGAUAAAAAGAGAUAACAGAGUAGCUUAGAGCAUUUAGGAAAAGCAAAGGAUUGGUGUUUGCUGUGCAGGAGAGGAAAGAAAAGACAAAUAGAAAAGUGUUGGCAAUGCAAGCUUCUACAAAGCAAGAGAAUGUGAUAGCAAUUAUUAUUUGGCUCUGUAGUGAACAAUAUUUGCAUAAUUAUUAUAAUGUUAACAAAGGUUACUGUUUUAACUAAUAGAGCAACUUACUAUUAUGGAUAUAAUUCUGCAGAAAAGAAUAAAAUAGAAAAUUGGUACAAGAUAUCAUUUUAUCUGCAAUGUUUAGAAACAUAGAGGUAAUUAAUAAAAAAAAAAAAACAGCAAAGGGGUGGUAUGUUGAGGCAUGGGACUGCCAUAAGCACUAUUUACCUUUUCAAACUAUGCAUAUGCAUCAUGCAGAUACCCUUAGAGAUUCACUGUUUUUCUCUCUCUUCUGGAAAGUGUUCCCAUCCUGGUUCACUUAUUAUCCCCUAGACUCCACCACAAAACAUAGAAAAUUAUGAGCAGACUUCUUGUCAAUUCUCCCAAGAAUGGUACAUAACCAGUACCAUUUUAGAUGCAUGGGGAGCUAAUUAAUUGAAUUCAAUGAAUGUUUUAAGUCAUUAGAACAUGAUUUUCUUGCUGAAAAGGUGGAGAGAAUUUGUGUUUGGGUUGUGUUAAUACUUAUCUGGUUGUUUAGAUCAUUUCUACAGAAUAUCUCAUUGCAUUAUAUCCAGUGAAUUUCUAUCAUCCUACUUAAGUCCCUUUCUUUCUCUUGUUUCCUUGAAAGCAGUUCUCUAUUCCAUUUAUCACUGCAUUGCCAGUGUUUACACCUUUCAUGGUACUUAAUACAUAGUUACAGAACUUGAUUAAAUUGUGCUAAUUAUUUCAUGACUAUAUGUCUUAGAAGAAUGAACUUGACUCCAUUGACAUAAUGGAAAAGUUAAAAGGCUG
rnacentral:lncRNA from 1 species